CCUACGGGGGGCAGCAGUCGCGAAAACUUUGCAAUAAGCGCAAGCUUGACAGGGCUAUCCCGAGUGCCAUCCGCUGAGGAAGGCUUUUACCCAGUCUAGAACGCUGGGGGAAUAAGGAGAGGGCAAGUCUGGUGUCAGCCGCCGCGGUAAUACCAGCUCUCCGAGUGGUGUGGAUGUUUAUUGGGCCUAAAGCAUCCGUAGCUGGCUAAGUUAGUCCCCUGUUAAAUCCACCGAAUUAAUCGUUGGAUUGCGGGGGAUACUGCUUGGCUAGGGGACGAGAGAGGCAGACGGUAUUUUCGGGGUAGGGGUGAAAUCCUAUAAUCCCGGGAAGACCACCAGUGGCGAAGGCUGUCUGCUAGAACGCGCCCGACGGUGAGGGAUGAAAGCUGGGGGAGCGAACCGGAUUAGAUACCCGGGUAGUC
rnacentral:rRNA from 1 species